AUAUGUGAUGCGCAAAUGCAAUUAACCAACAUUGUGGCGAGGUGGCCUGGUUCAACGCACGAUUCACUGCCUACAUUCUGAGUAACAGCAUGGUUGGGAACAAGCUACAGGCUGGCACUGUGCGUGAUGGGUGGCUUCUUGAAUCAGAUCUGGACGUGCUUGACCAGAACAAAUGUUCUGCUUCAGAGGAAUCUCUUCUGAGGCCUCAAGUGGUCUGAGCAACUAAAAAAGCUCUGGCUUUACAGCAUACGACAUCCCUCUGUCCUUAUGACCCUCAACCCCAAAGUCCUGCUCCUUUCAGGAUCUCCUUCCAU